rnacentral:rRNA from 1 species
CUCGUAGGUGGCCAACUAAGUCAGACGUGAAAUCCCUCAGCUUAACUGGGGAACUGCGUCUGAUACUGGAUGGCUUGAGUUUGGGAGAGGGACGCGGAAUUCCAGGUGUAGCGGUGAAAUGCGUAGAUAUCUGGAGGAACACCGGUGGCGAAGGCGGCGUCCUGGACCAACACUGACACUGAUGAGAAGCCACGGGAGGCAAACG